UACGUGAGGGGCAAGCGUUGUCCGGAAUCAUUGGGCGUAAAGCGCGCGUAGGCGGCCUCGUAAGUCCGCUGUGAAAGUCAAAGGCUCAACCUUUGAAUGCCGGUGGAUACUGCGAGGCUAGAGUCCGGAAGAGGCGAGUGGAACUCCUGGUGUAGCGGUGGAAUGCGCAGAUAAUCAGGAAGAACACCAACGGCGAAGGCAGCUCGCUAGGACGGUACUGACGCUAAGGCGCGAAAGCGUGGGAGCAACAGG
rnacentral:rRNA from 1 species